rfam:Picea glauca, whole genome shotgun sequence.
GGGUGCGAUCAUACCAACCUUAAUGCACUGGAUCCUAUCAAUACUUCGCAGUUAAGCGCACUUGGGCUAGAAUAGUACUGGGAUGGGUGACCUCCCAGGAUGUCCUAGUGUUGCACCCU